ensembl:lncRNA
AAAUGCUAUUAAGGAGGACCUUUGAUCAGAGCUCACACCUUAUGAGGCUUAAGAUAAGUGCUUGUAGCUUAUUAGAUGUGAGAUAAGUCAUCCUACAACACGAAUCACAGCAGCAAGUCAUCGUUUGUUCUCCUCUUCGCAGAACUACUUGUUGCUUUGGAAGAAGCCAGCUGCUUUGUAUUAUUCAGGUGGAAGAUGGAACAAAGCCAUUUUGGUCUGGAAUACAGUGGGGGCUCCAGGAGCAGAUUCACUUUCUGUGAUUUAUGGCACCAGGGAGAGCUGGAUUUUGUGUCCUGAGGUGCCACUAGAAGGGUCUUCAGGAGUUUAUGAAACCUCCAGCACGCCUGACUUUGAGGUGCUUUUCUGCUGGAUGUGCUCUACCUCACUGCUUUGCCAUGAAACACUAGGGAUUUGGGGGCUGUCUCUGGGCAGCUUCCAAGGCUUUAGAGUCCCUGUGUUUUACAGGCAACCCAUGAAGCUUGUGUGGUGCCCCAGUUUUGAUGGAGAAAUAUGACCCUCACGCACUGCCUGCAGCUCAGGACAGGAUGGCCA